UGCAGUCGUACGAGAAAUCCCGAGCUUGCUUGGGAGAGUAAAGUGGCGCACGGGUGAGUAACGCGUGGGUAACCCACCUUCGAAUCUGGGAUAACUUCGCGAAAGCGAAGCUAAUACCGGAUAAGACCACAGCCGCUUCGGCGGCAGAGGUUAAAGCUGACCUCUCCAUGGAAGUUAGCGUUCGAGGACGGGCCCGCGUCCUAUCAGCUUGUUGGUGGGGUAAAGGCCUACCAAGGCAGCGACGGGUAGCUGGUCUAAGAGGAUGAUCAGCCACACUGGAACUGGAACACGGUCCAGACUCCUACGGGAGGCAGCAGUGAGGAAUUUUGCGCAAUGGGCGAAAGCCUGACGCAGCAACGCCGCGUGGGUGAAGAAGGCUUUCGGGUCGUAAAGCCCUGUCAGGUGGGAAGAAACCCUUCAGCACUAAUAAUGCUGAAGCCUGACGGUACCACCAGAGGAAGCACCGGCCAACUCCGUGCCAGCAGCCGCGGUAAUACGGAGGGUGCAAGCGUUGUUCGGAAUUAUUGGGCGUAAAGAGCGUGUAGGCGGUUCGGUAAGUCAGAUGUGAAAGCCCUGGGCUCAACCCAGGAAGUGCAUUUGA
rnacentral:rRNA from 1 species